UGGGAAUAUUGCACAAUGGGGGAAACCGUCGAUGCAGCGACGCCGCGUGAGCGAAGAAGUAUUUCGGUAUGUAAAGCUCUAUCAGCAGGGAAGAAGAAAUGACGGUACCUGACUAAGAAGCCCCGGCUAACUACGUGCCAGCAGCCGCGGUAAUACGUAGGGGGCAAGCGUUAUCCGGAUUUACUGGGUGUAAAGGGAGCGUAGACGGUGAUGCAAGUCUGAAGUGAAAGCCCGCGGCUCAACUGCGGGACUGCUUUGGAAACUGUGUGACUAGAGUGCAGGAGAGGUAAGUGGAAUUCCUAGUGUAGCGGUGAAAUGCGUAGAUAUUAGGAGGAACACCAGCGGCGAAGGCGGCUUACUGGACUGUAACUGACGUUGAGGCUCGAAAGCGUGGGGAGCAAACAGGAUUAGAUACCCUGGUAGU
rnacentral:rRNA from 1 species